rnacentral:rRNA from 1 species
CCUACGGGAGGCAGCAGUGAGGAAUAUUGGUCAAUGGACGAGAGUCUGAACCAGCCAAGUAGCGUGAAGGAUGACUGCCCUAUGGGUUGUAAACUUCUUUUAUAUGGGAAUAAAAUGUUCCACGUGUGGGAUUUUGUAUGUACCAUAUGAAUAAGGAUCGGCUAACUCCGUGCCAGCAGCCGCGGUAAUACGGAGGAUCCGAGCGUUAUCCGGAUUUAUUGGGUUUAAAGGGAGCGUAGGUGGAUUGUUAAGUCAGUUGUGAAAGUUUGCGGCUCAACCGUAAAAUUGCAGUUGAGACUGGCAGUCUUGAGUACAGUAGAGGUGGGCGGAAUUCGUGGUGUAGCGGUGAAAUGCUUAGAUAUCACGAAGAACUCCGAUUGCGAAGGUAGCUCACUGGACUGCAACUGACACUGAGGCUCGAAAGUGUGGGUAGCAAACAGGAUUAGAUACCCCAGUAGUC